rnacentral:rRNA from 1 species
AUUGAACGCUGGCGGCAGGCCUAACACAUGCAAGUCGAGCGGAUGAAGGGAGCUUGCUCCUGGAUUCAGCGGCGGACGGGUGAGUAAUGCCUAGGAAUCUGCCUGGUAGUGGGGGACAACGUUUCGAAAGGAACGCUAAUACCGCAUACGUCCUACGGGAGAAAGCAGGGGACCUUCGGGCCUUGCGCUAUCAGAUGAGCCUAGGUCGGAUUAGCUAGUUGGUGGGGUAAUGGCUCACCAAGGCGACGAUCCGUAACUGGUCUGAGAGGAUGAUCAGUCACACUGGAACUGAGACACGGUCCAGACUCCUACGGGAGGCAGCAGUGGGGAAUAUUGGACAAUGGGCGAAAGCCUGAUCCAGCCAUGCCGCGUGUGUGAAGAAGGUCUUCGGAUUGUAAAGCACUUUAAGUUGGGAGGAAGGGUUGUAGAUUAAUACUCUGCAAUUUUGACGUUACCGACAGAAUAAGCACCGGCUAACUCUGUGCCAGCAGCCGCAGUAAGAC